CAUUAGAUGACUGAAUGCAAGUAAUGGCCUCUUAAGCCAAAAUAUAGUAAUUAGCGACUACUUCUAAUGA
rnacentral:tRNA from 1 species